ACAGAGCCUCCUGCUGCGGCCGCUACCAGUUCACCCGAUCUAGGGUGAACCAGUUGCAACCCACCACUAAUUGUAAUUAGAAAACUCAUGCCCCCUUUAAUUGAACACAUGUUUGAAAUAACUUGGCACCAUCUCUUACUUGGGCUCUUAGUAUAGCACUAAAAAGCCAUAUGAAGCCUUAACCCUCCAAAAUUGCAUCUCUGUGCCCUAAUCCAUUGUAUGUAGAUUAUUGGACUGAAAACCAUUAGAUGUAAUACGUUUUUUGGCUCAGUUAUAAAUUAAGUAACAUUGGCCCAGUCUACAUAUCUUUGUAAAACUCCUUUUUUUUAGAUUCCCAAAAAUUGCUGCUGAGGAGGUAGUCACCAAGCUUUCUUGAUGAGAAAGCAUACCUUUUGAAUAUAACAACUAGGAUUUUUGUAGAUGCUAAAUUGAAUUAGUAGAUAUAGCAUCUCUAUACAAAGUACAAGUGUGAUGUACAACCACCCAAAUUCUUAAUUCAUUUAUGACAUGGCUUCUUUUGUCUACAUGAUACUUGCAGAUGAUUAGAAGAGAUGUCCAGUUCAUUUGUAAUUUUCAUAUAUUUAGUUUUUCUGUCAGUUGUCAAGUUGCCUGAAUAAUAAGGAUUAUUUUUAUUGUCAUUUGGUGUUUCCAUUCUAUGCCCGUCCUCAUUCCGGACUAUUAUCAUCUGUUAUCAUCCUGCCAUUCGGAGAUGGAGCUCCUAUAUCGCCGAUUUCUAUCUUCAGUUGCUAUGCACUACACUUCUUGUGAACUCUUGCGCCUGCAAGGUGCCCCCGCCUCGCAGGAAUGGCCCUCCACAUUAUCGAGGGCCGGCCUCCAUGACGGGUUUUGGGACCCACAGAGGUGGCAUGCGAAAAAGAAGAACUUGUGGGGUUUUUUAGAGAGGGAAUUUUUAAGGGGAGGGAGGGUAAGGUCGGGUAAUGGGGGUAACCCGUCGGGUGGGGGGCCAGUCCCUACAUGUGCUCGAGGCGGUUCUUUAUUAGGUUCGGAGGUUAUUGGGGAGGAUUAUGUUCCUACUUGUGAGGGUGGCUCUAUUGAUACGGUAAGUGGGAGGGGCAGGUACGGCGGAAGUGAGGGGUCAUAUCGAUUUCCGGGAGCGCGUGCUCGAUGUUUGAAAGCAAUCACGCACUCCGACCCCUUAGACUUUUCCUGUUCCCCGUAUGGUCAGGAUCCUCAGAGCUUGGGCCUUCGGUUGAUGCUGUGCAAUGCACGGUCCAUGGUGAACAAAGCCUCCCUCAUCUGUGAUCUUAUACAGGGGGGCUCCGCGGACCUUAUGGGCAUUACGGAAACCUGGUUGGGCACAGAAGGGGGGGUGCCCCUUGGGAAAAUGUGCCCACCGGGUUUCCGAGCAUUUCAUCAACCGAGGGCCCAAGGUAGGGGUGGGGGGGUGGCAGUUAUAAAAGACAGUCUAGAGCCGAGGGAGACCACUGUUCCUCAGAUUGCCGGUUGUGAAUCCCUCCUUGUGAAGUGGGGCCAUAGGGGUCAGUUGGGCUUGUUAGUCACGUACCUGGCUCCUUGCUGCGUGACAACAGCCCUGCCCGAGUUGUUGGAGGUGCUUGCUGGGGUGGCGGUUGAGACCCCUAGACUUAUGGUCAUGGGGGACUUUAACCUGCCUUCUACCAGCAUGUCACCAACAUCGGCUUGGGAGUUCAUGGCCUCCAUGACGGCCAUGGACCUGAAGCAAGUAGUGGAUGGCGCUACCCACAUCAGGGGAGGCACACUGGAUUUGAUUUUUAUCUCUGGACAGUGGAUGAGUGAUCUGGUUUUGGGAGAUGUAGUCACUGAGCCGUUGUCAUGGUCAGAUCACUCUCUCCUUCGUCUGGACUUUCAGACCGCCACCCAACACCGCAGGGAGAAGGGACCAUUACGGUGGUUCCGUCCCAGGGGCCUGAUGGACCCGGAGAGGUUUCUGACGGAGCUUGGGCCAUUCCCUGAGGAUCUUGCCCAUGGCACGGCUGAAGAACUAGUUGCGGCUUGGGAACGGGCCGUGGCCGGGGCUUUAGACCGUGUCAUGCCUUUGCGGCCUCUGACCCGGCGUAGGUCUCAACCAGCUCCUUGGUUCUCUGAGGAGCUGAGGGAGAUGAAACGCCGGAGAAGACGCCUAGAGAGUGUCUGGAGAUCCAGCCGUUCGGAAGCUGAUCGGACACUAGUUAGGUCUUUUAGUAGGACCUACCUGGUGGCCCUGAGGGAAGCGAGACGUUCUUACGUCUCCUCCCUCAUUGCGUCGGCAGAUAACCGCCCGGCCGCCCUGUUUUGGGUGACCCGCUCCCUCCUUCAACAGGGGGUGCGGGAUGACCCGUUACAAGGGCAUGCCGAGGAGUUUAGUGGUUAUCUAUAUGAUAAAAUCACUCAGCUUCGGGAUGGCUUGGAUCAAAAUUGGGUGGAUCCAGGUGAGAUGUCAGAGACCCGUUUUGUCGAGACUGUUUGGGAUGGAUUUGAUCCUGUGGCUCCCGAGGACAUGGACAGGUUACUGGGGAGGUUGAAUGCCACCACAUGUUUACUGGACCCGUGCCCCUCCUGGUUGGUGCUGGCCACACAGGAGGUGACACGAGGCUGCCUCCGGGGGAUUAUAAAUGCUUCCUUGUUGGAGGGGGUCGUCCCUGCCGCCUUGAAAGAGGCGGUGAUGAGACCCCUCCUCAAGAAGCCUUCCCUGGAUCCGGCUGUUUUAGGAAAUUAUCGUCCAGUCUCCAACCUUCGCUUUAUGGCGAAGGUUGUAGAGAGUGUGGUGGCAUGUCAAUUACCCCGGUACCUGGACAAAACUGUCUAUCUGGACCCGUUCCAGUCCGGCUUUCGGCCCGGUUAUAGCAUGGAGACGGCUUUGGUCGCGUUGGUUGAUGAUCUCUGGAGGGCCAGGGAUAGGGGUUUUUCCUCUGCCCUGGUCCUAUUAGACCUCUCAGCGGCUUUUGAUACCAUCGACCAUGGUAUCCUGCUGCACCGGUUGGAGGGAUUGGGAGUGGGAGGCACCGUUUAUCGGUGGUUCUCCUCCUAUCUCUCCGAUCGGUCGCAGACGGUGUUGACAGGGGGGCAGAGGUCGUCCCCGAGGUACCUCACUUGUGGGGUGCCGCAGAGGUCGAUUCUCUCGCCCCUUCUGUUCAUCUAUAUGAAGCCGCUGGGUGAGAUCAUCAGUGGCUUUGGGGUGAGAUACCAUCUGUACGCUGAUGAUACUCAGCUGUACUUUUCCACCCCGGGCCACCCCAGUGAAGCUAUCGAAGUGCUGUCCCGGUGCCUGGAAGCCGUACGGGUCUGGAUGGGGAGAAAACAGGCUCAAACUCAAUCCCUCCAAGACGGAGUGGCUGUGGAUGCCGGCACCCCGGUACAGUCAGUUGCAGCCGCAGCUGACUGUUGGGGGCGAGUUAUUGGCCCCGAUGGAAAGGGUGCGCAACUUGGGCGUCCUCUUGGAUGGAUGGCUGUCUUUUGAAGAUCAUCUGACGGCCGUCUCCAGGAGAGCUUUUUACCAGGUUCGCCUGGUUCGCCAGUUGCGCCCCUUUCUAGACCGGGAUGCCCUAUGCACGGUCACUCAUGCGCUCGUCACAUCUCCCUUGGAUUACUGCAAUGCUCUCUACAUGGGGCUCCCCUUGAAGAGCAUCCGGAGGCUUCAGUUGGUUCAGAAUGCAGCUGCACGGGUAAUAGAGGGAGCCCCUCGUGGCUCCCACGUGACACCUCUCCUGCGCAGACUGCACUGGCUACCUGUGGCCUUUUGGGUGUGCUUCAAGGUUUUGGUUACCAUCUUUAAAGCGCUCCAUGGCAUAGGGCCGGGUUAUUUACGGGACCGCUUGCUGCCACCGACUACCUCCCACCGACCCGUACGCUCUCACAGGGAGGGACUCCUUAGGGUGCCGUCCGCCAGGCAGUGCCGACUGGCGACCCCCAGGGGAAGGGCCUUCUCUGUGGGGGCCCCCACCCUUUGGAACGAGCUCCCCCCAGGACUGCGUCAACUUCCUGACCUUCGAACCUUCCGCCGCGAGCUUAAGACACAUCUAUUUAUUUGUGCAGGGCUGGCCUAGAAUUUAAUUUUAAAAUUAAUUUUAAAAGGGGUUUUGUAUUUUUUAACCAUAGUUUUAAAUUUGGCCUAAUGGAAUAAGUUUUUUAAAUGUUGUUUUUAACAUGUAUUUAUUCUUAUACUUUAUAUUUUAUAAGGCUGUAAAGCGCCCUGAGUCCUUCGGGAGAUAGAGCGGUAUAGAAAUUUGAAUAAUAAUAAUAAUAAUAAUAAUAAUAAUAAUAAUAAUAAUAAUAAUAAUAAUAAUAAUAAUAAUAAUAAUAGGAUUCUAAUGAUAAUGACUUCAUUGUUCUAUUGUAGCCCAUGCAAUAUAUGGCACCAUUAGAAGUGGGCAAAUGUCCUCUAGACCAGGGAUUGCCAACCUCUCAGACCUCAGGGACCACUAAAUUCAUAAUUUUUAAAUCCUGCGGACCACUAAUAUGAUUUUUUUUUCAAAAAGGUAAAUAGUAUUUUGUGCAAUAUAAAAAAUGCAAAUAAUUUUUCUGCAGACUACCAAAAUUUUCUUACAGACCACCAGUGGUUCAUGGACCACCUAUUGGUGACCACUGCUCUAGACACUCCUCUGCUCCUUUCAAACCAUAUUGGAUGAUAGUAUUAGGCAGCUUACAGAAUUCUCCUUUUUCAUUUGUAAAUAGACUUAAUGUUAGGCUAAGAGUACUGCAGUCAAUCACAAAACUAUCUGGAUUUAAGCUGAAUAGUUUCGUUAAAUAAACAAUCUCUUCAAAGCACAAAAAUUAUAUGCUGCACCUCUAUAUAAAGUUGAUACUAUAUCAACUUUAUAUAGUUGAUCAACGCUAUAAAGUUGAUAAUCUUGUCUUUCUUACUGUUCUGCAAUGCUUGAGGUCAGAAAACACAAAAGCAGAGUCAUGCAUCAGAAGACUAAAGUCAGUUCACAGGAACAAUAGCAAAUCAGUCUAAAGGAUAAAGAACAAAGGUAGUCAAAAGUUCAAUAACAAAGGCCAAAAAAAUGUAAACAGCAGCAUUGGGGUAUGAACAAGAAAUAUAAUCCAGGAAGCCAAAGUUCAGCCCUGUAACAGGAAAUGGACAACCAGGAUGCAGUUGAUUUAGGCAUUUUUCUUCCAUAUCUUCUGGGUUUUUUAAAAGACUUUUUCUUUGCAGCCAGACAUUGUAAGUGUCUUCUUUUUACAACCCUGAAUCAACAGGAUCUCUGUUUGUGAAAGGUUCCCUGUAAAUCCGGGGUUCUACAAGUCUGUUUCCAUCUUUGAUCAAGGAUUCCAGGGUGGCCAUAAUAAUCUUUUUCCUUUCAAUAAUUUUGAAUGAUGAGGAGAACAGAACUAACAGCAGCUACAUCCAUGUUUUAUAGGCUUACUGAGGUGAUAGGUUUGUGUGAUGCUAAUUUUGUAAAAAAAAACAAAAAACCUUAAGAUGUGUAACAGCUGCCAUAGUAAUAACUAAGGUUCACAGGAGAGGUGAGAUUUGAAUAAUGUUCCCAUGGGGUAAUACUGAGCAAGGCAAAACCUUUCAAUUCCCUUCUUGCCUGAAAAACGACAAUAAUAUCGAUCUUCUGUGCAGUAUGCAAGAGUGUUUAUCGGUGUGUGCAAAAUACUUUUGUGUGCUUAGGAGUGAAAAAAUGCAUAUUUACAGUACAUUUUAAUAUUGCAGUAUAAUGGAGAACUCUAGUUUAAUGCCUUUUACAACUUGUCUCCCUUUCCCUUCGCUUUCUUUCUCUUACAGUAUUUCCUUGUACAAAGUUGAAGGCAGAAUAUCAUUUAUUUAGUAAAUUUAUUCUUUAUGCAUAUAUUUGAAUUUUGAAAAUUUGCGUGUUGGACUUAAAACAUUUUCAAUAGAGUACAGUAUAGGGUCUCCUAAUGAAAGCAAGAGAAAUGAAUGCAAGCUGAUUCAUUUGCAUGGCUUUGUGUCCUAACUUAAUUUCUACUUCCAGUCAAAUUACAUCUGGAAAGUUCAAGUCCUUCACAAGGAAUUAAAAGCAACACCCAUCAGUGGCUGGCCUGUCACAGCAAGUUAAUAAUUUAUCAUUAGAGUCUACCCCACAUGUCUUACUGAUUACUAUGAGGUUGUGUAAAAGGACAAAAGGACUUUUCUUUUACUAGUUGGUAAAAAAGAAUGCUUUGCUGUAUAGUAUUGAAAUGCAGAAUUCACUCAUGCAUUCCUGAAAUUACAGUUGCUUCAAGAGAUGCAAUGCUGUUUUCAAGCACUGACACUCUCGAGACAUAUUUCAUGGGAGUGGGACGUUCACUCCCUGUGUUGAUGAAGCCUGCACAUGUGUUUCCUAUUUAUAUCAUCCCAAACCCACCCUGUAUGGCAACCAUGAGGAACGUAUCUGAAGCAGCUUUGCUCAAAUCUAUCCCCAGGGCCUGCCAGCCCUUCUACGUGCAGGAAAUGAAUUUCAUGGUUUGCCAUUAUAUUGUGAAGUCGUAUUGAAACAGAAUCACCUUGACUGUGAUGUGGCACUAAAGUCUUUUUAAGCAGAACUUAUAUCACCUACAAUCGCAUGUCAUUGAAUAUUAUUUUGAUGCUGUAUUUUGGAAAAUAAGCUUUCAAAGCAAAAAUCCUUAGUGUUUAAUUCUUACUUGAAGUAAUGGUUAAGGCAUCAGGUUAUAAAACAGAAGAUUGUGACUUCCACUCUGAGUUUUAGUUACAAAGCCAUUUGGGUAACCUUUGGCCAGUCACACACACUCAACCAUGAGAAGAAGGCAAUGGCAAACCACUUCUGAAACUUUUACCGAGAAAAUUACAGACUUGUCAGGAACCAACACUUGCUUGAGUGUGCAUAUACACACACCAAACUCCACCAACUCUUAAUUCUUAAUGUAAUGUGAUUGUUUUUUCCUAUUUGUUCUAAUAAAUAUAUGAGAGAAAAUGAAUGUUUUUUAAAAUUCAAACAGGAAUUGCAGGGAGAAUGUAGCUGGCGGGGAUAAAGCUAAUUAAGUCUUUCCUUAAUGAAAAUCACUCAUUUCUGUUUACCAUUUUAUAAAAGCACAGCUGUAUGUGAGCCUGAUAUACAAUUUUAUAUGCCUAACCAUAUAAAAAUAGGAUUUUUGAAAAAUUAUUCUGGUAAGAAAAUAAUUCUCUCAGGUCAUUUGAAUUUUCUGACUACUUGAACAAAAAGUUACAAACAAGGCUGAAUUAUUUUUGACUGUUAAUAAUGUUUGCAUGAUCUAAUUUUUGAUUGACUGAAAUAAAUUGAUCGUACAUCAAUAGGAGCUUUGACAGACAUGUUUUGUUGGUUGUAGUUACAUGUGCAUAGCUUGCCUUCUGCAAAUAAUUAAUUGAGAUUCUUUUCCCCAUCCUUAUAGGGGCUAUAAAUACUUGUUUUGUUUUUAUUUUUUACAAAUGAUAGCAGAAAGCUCCCCCCCCCUCCUUUAGAAUAUUGUUUUGAGUUGGAUAAGAUACCUAGAUCCCUUUCAAUUUCAUUCUCUUCCAUCCAUCUCCACCCCCACUUUUCUUUCUCUGGAACAUUUUAAUGAGUGCUCGACAUUCUAAUCUUGAAUUCUUAAAAUAUUCUGCCUUCAGUUAAUUGUAAAAUAUUGUAUAUGCUUGUGGGGGAAAAUCUUUCAAGAAAAAGUUGUAGCUGAAAUAAACUAUAUGGAUAUUUCAUUUUGGCUAACAUAUUACAGUUUAUUUAAUAUAUCUACAUUUGCGGAGUUCCAUUCCUAUGCCAGUUUUUUUAAAAUCUACUUUGUCUCUUUCUUGUUAUUUUAUCUUACCAUAAGUCUACAUCGUAAGGAACUACCUUCUCUCAAUAUUUAUAUCAAUUGUUUCCUGAUUGAAAAAAAGGGUAAAGGAACUAUUGGCUUUCUGGCACAAAAUGGUAUUCCAGCUAGUGAUUGAAAUAAAGUGUUUCUAAUUGAAGCAAAAGUCACUAAUGAUAUUGGAGACUGAUCUUGUGUAUUUAAACAUAAAUCUCUAGGGUACGAUUUUUAAAUGGCCAGAAUCCAUCAACAGAGUCUAUAAUAUCUUUUAAGACAUCACCAAAUCAUAUUUUAUGAAGAGCCUAGAGUUCUUUGAGAAAUCUAAAAAUAAAUUUGGCGUGAGCUUUUAGGAAUUGGGCAAAUAAUAUUACAUAGAACAGGAACAUUGUAAAGCAACUACUCAACUGCUGAAAAGUACAGGAUAAAUAAUUUUUACUCUAGGUUUAGAUGCUAAAGCAGCCAUCUGACAUUAGUAAAAAAUAGUAGUAUGGCUGACAUAUAUAAUAUAUAACAUAUAGGAUAUAUCUACAAGGUAUAGGAGGUAUAGGAUAGGUAUAGGAUAGGGCAACCUACUUCUUUAAAUUUUAAUGGGUUAUAUUUUUUUCAUUUCUCAGCCUAGAUGCAUGCAUGCUAAUACUUUUUUCUUUUGCUCAUAUACAGUCAUGACAAAGAAAGUAUACCCUUUUUUAGUUCUGUUGUUUUAUAUAUCAGGACAUAGAAAAAGUCAUCUGGUCCUUAGCAGUUCUUAAAAAUACAACCUCAGAUGAACAACACCUUACAUAUUACACUGGCCAUAAUUUAAUUACAAAAAGAAAGGCAAGAUAUUUACCUACUUUUAAGGUUGCUAAGGACCAGAGGAUUUUUACUAUGUUCUAAUACAUAAAACCACAGAACACAAAGAGGGUGUAUUUUCUUUUUUUCUUUGAAAAGAACUGGUAUUCUUUGCCAAAAGAAUAGCUUCAUCUGCUUUUGAAAGGCAUGCCAUUAAUUAAAACAAUUAAUUAAAAGCAACCACCUUAAACACUUUUCCUAGCUUGUUCAGAGGUGAUGAUUUAAUUGUUGGUGACACCUUAAUACUGGGGUGUCCAACCCACAGUCCUGGCCUGCAUGAAGCCCUGAAAACUAGUAAUAAGGUCUCACAAGAUUAUAAACUUUUAACAAUACUAUAUGUUAUUUACAUGCAUUAACUAUAUUAUAUAUUUUAUAUUCAGCCUAAGACAAUUCCUGUUCACUCAGUGGAGCACUGGCAAGCCCAAAGGUUGGAUACUCAUGCCUUUGUACAAAAAGAAUAGAGUUGAUCAGUUCUGUGUUAUGAUAAUCUGGCUUUUCUUACAGGGUGAUAAGAUAAAAGCUCCCUUCCUUUGCAAAGUUAGUCCACUAAAAAAUGUGUUUUGUGCCUUGAAUGUACACUUUGAAAAAUAUCUCUAAUGUUUCCUUACAGUUUGACAUUAAGUUGUAUGGUUGCUAUGCUAUGCUAAUAUGCUAAGCUAGAAUGAGCCCAUUCUUUCAUCAAGAAGUUCCCAACAUGUGUACUGAAAUUUAAGCUUCAAUUUAAUUUGAACUAAACUGUUUAAUCUACAUAGUUUGCUCAGUUUCAGAAGUUAAUGAAGGUGAGUUCAAUAUUGGAAAAGAUGACCAUAUGAAAGACUGGGACUUGUGAGAUAGUGGCCAGUGGCUGGGUUGAGUGCUAACAUAGGUGUAUCCAAUCAGCACAUCAGAAGAACAUCAGGUUGAAGAAGACCGAGUGUGUACAUAGUCUGCAAAAGGUACUGAAAUAUUUGCUCCAACUUUGGAGCUUAAAAUGUAACCUUUUUACAGUUUUGAGACAAUUAUGAAUAGCAGGAUACUGAUAGGAAACUGUGGAAAUGAUGCAUGCAUGUGAUUUGUUGGUUUGUUUUAUUUUUCCCCCACUCAGCUAGCUCUCUUAGUAUCGUAUAUCCUGUUAGAGCUAGUCUGUUUUUGCAAACAAAAUUCAUUUUCUGGUCUCGGCUUGAAGUACAAGUAAAUCUUACAUCAGGAGUAUCUCUAGCAAGUCAAAAAUCUAAAACCCAAUUCUGUUGUUAUGUAAGCAAUAUCACAAGAAAUCCCUAUUAAUUCUCUAAUGAAGUGUGCAUGCAAUAAUAGUAAUAAACAUUUUUCCUGAAGUAUAAUCCAAUUUUUCCAUAUUAUAUUUUGAUAAAUGCGUAAUAGUUUACUAAUGCAUUUUGCUUUUUCUAGCUUAUUGUUUUUUCUUUAAGAGAGAAAAAAUCAUUAAAAUUCCCAAUGCCACCUAAAGAUCUCUACUUUGUAUUUAUAAACAUCUCUGCAUAACUGCAUACAUUCUUUUCAGCAAACUGGACAGGGAUAUGUGAGAGGUGCCUGGCAAGUUAUAGCUAUAUAAGUGGCUGCUGUAUUUAUGUAAGUGCAACAGACACUUUUGGAAAACCAAACCAUUGUUUUCCUCAUAAAUUCUGACUCUAUAAUAAAGGAAACCAGAUCAGAAGUUAGGCAGAUACUCUAGGCAUAUUUACAUCCAUAAUUUUAUAUCUGAAUUUAAUUUAGUAAAUACCCAAUACCUUAGGUUGCAUCCUCUGCCAGAAAAUGUUUACCAAAAUAACACUGGAUUAAAGAUUAGAGGCUAUUGCUUAUAUAUGCUUAUAUAUUACCCUUACAUAUUUUGAAACAUUUCACUUAACAAACAUUAUUCUGUGCAACAGCAGACUCAACUGGUAAAGCUUUUCUCAUAUUCUGCUACUUCUGGAUGCAUAAUGGAAAUCUUUAGGUGGCAUUGGGAAUUUUGUGGCCUAAUAGAGAAAUAGAGAAAAAACCAGAAAAAAACAAUAAUUUGAUUGAUUAUGUAUCAUUGGUAUCAAUUUUUAGCAGUUACAUAGAAAGAUUUUUCUCUAUGACAGUAUGUCUGUACUCUGGCCAAAAUUCAAAAAUGUCAGUAUUCUUCUUCAGCAUCCAUCUUUUACUUCCAUUGAUGGAUCAGAAUAGUGCAGACAAUAGUAUUAACUGUGACACUUUGUGGAAAUGAACGUUGGAUUUCAUGGCUGCUCCAAAAGUGUUGGUCUGCAGUGUAUUUCCUGACUACUAGUCCCUUUAUUGUUGAAGAAACAGGGUACUUUUCUGAUAGUUUUCUUCUAUUCUUCUAAUUCUUGUAUUUUUACUCUACCUGAUGUUAUCUGGAAUCAUAUAUAAAAUUGGAGGAGGAAAGGAAAAUCUUUAUAUUGUCCUCUUGUAUUCAUAAACUUUUUUUUUGCCUUCUCUGGCUCCAUAACUAGCUCUAGAAAACAUCAACAUCAGAAUAAAAAUGUAUUUUUAACUGUUUACAAUGAUGGAGUGUUAUAGAUGGUAUUGCAUCUUUCAUACCUGAACAGUGUGUUAUCAUGCCAUAAACAUUUUAAUUUUUAAUUUUACUAUCUUUCUUUAUUGCUGACUUUUCAGUAGUUGCUAGUACAUUGUAUUGUUUGAAAAGCUAUAUAUUCCAAAAUGGGAUGUGUAGACUCUAGAAGCAGGGGGGAGGGGAAAUUCUGAGUUGCACAGAAGAAUUGCAGAAGCUGUAAAGCCACAAAUGCUCAGUGUAAUAGAAUUCAGUGGAAGGGAGAGAAUUCCAUUGCACAUCUACUCACUGUUAUUAAUCUAGAAACGAUGAAAAGUCAUUUAUUGUGCCAUUUAUGUCCACUAAACUAGCCAAUUGUCUCUGAAAAAUGAGCACUCCAGCAAAACAGGUACUGUCUGUAUAUACAAUAAUCACUCUACAGUGUUAUUUCUUUAUAGAAAUAAAUUGAUUUAAUAAAUUGAUUUUAUCAGCUUUAAAUAACAUUUUGGCAUUUAGUUCUAAAUAUUUUGAAGAGUUUGUUUUUUGAAAUGGUUAGUGUGAAGAAUGAUGACUUGGCAUACCAAUAUCUGUAUCUGUUCUGGUGGCUCAAGCAUCAAACAGACUGAACUUGAAAAUGGUGAGCACUUGGCACAUAAAGAACCUCUAUAAAAUUUUGUCUUGCUUUCUUUGACUUUUUAAAAGAAUAUGGCUUUUAAUUAUGAAAUUAACAUGAGUACUUUUGAGUUUUCCUGGUAGGAGAAAAAUUAAUGUUUCUUUCUACUGUCAGAGUUGCUGACUUAACUGGGCUUCCUUGGUUUUUAAGUGGGAAGAAGGUUGGGGCUUUGUAAAACCCUUCUGAUUCUGAACUGAUUUGACUGAAAUCCUAUGCAAACUAAUUCCACACUUCUUUUUCCACCUACUCUGAAUUCUACUCUCUUCCCCUAUCCCUGAGUUUUCCACAUAAUAACUCUUAGGAUAAAGCUUCAAGAAAGCAGUUUGGCAUGUCUGUGGUAAAAAGGAGAAUGGCAAUGAAAAGAACAAAAUAAAUUAUUCUGUAAACCAAAAUGGUCCAGCUUUGAAUAGAGAAAAUACUUAAUGAAGUUAUGCAGAGACUGUUUGUGUUCAGAAUUUCAUUGAUAAGCUCUUGAGAGAGCUGCAAAUUGAGCAAAAGACUGCUGUUAGAAGGGUCUUGUCUUCUAGAAGGGUGGAAAGGGAACAGGGAAAGAUUGGGAAAGCUAGUCUUUGGGUCUGAUUUCAGCCUUGCAUAUCAGCAAGGUUUAUGGAUAUAUUUAGUAUCUAUGAAUUCUAUCAAGACAGAAAGGUCUUGAUAUAUAAGGAACCAGGUUAACAAGUUUAAUUCCUUGCUUUCUAAAAAGGAACUUAUAACUAAAGUAACUACUUUACUGUAUAAUAAUUAUUUAGUAGUAUUUGGGCACCAUGCAGAAUUACACAAAUUUUGAGGGUUUGUCAAAUUUUGAGGGUUUUGGGACAAAUAUUAUUAGGAUUCUCUUCUUCUGAUCUCAGAAAAUGGAAGAAGAUGUAAUGAGCUUUAUAUUUUGCUUACAUAGGAGGAUGCAUUUUGAUUAAAGAAAAAGCGCAGCUUGUACAAUAAUAGUAAUUUAACAAUGGAACAAGUGGUGUAGAAGAUGGUGGAAAUCUCAUUCCUUUCAGGAUGGCUUUAGAUCUAGAUGUUCCACAUAAGUAAGUCCAUUACUCAUUUUAAGCCACAGAUUUAAAAAAUCAUUAAAAGGCUGAACUUCACCCAUUCAUGACAUUAGGUUAACUUAUCUCAUCCCAAGUCCUUCAUUCCAAGUCUCUCAUAGGUACUGUGCAUUAGUUACAUUGCAGUGGCUUUUAAAUGAUACUAAACCAUUUUUUGCCAUCGAUUUGCAGACUGGCAUCAGAUAAUGCUAUUUUUUUUACCUACUCCUCCCAUCUACAGUAGGAUAAUAGCAUUACCAGCUCAUCUUUGAAGGGGAGAUCCAGUUGGUUAACUAGGAGCCAUAUGGUUUCAGUGCACAGCAAGAAAAGAAUUACCUGCACCAUUACACUGUAUAGAAAGCAGAUGGUAUAUAAAAACAUUGAACAUAAAAGAUAUAUG